rnacentral:rRNA from 1 species
CUUGGUCAUUUAGAGGAAGUAAAAGUCGUAACAAGGUUUCCGUAGGUGAACCUGCGGAAGGAUCAUUAGUGAAUCUUCAAAGUCGGCUCGUCGGAUUGUGCUGGUGGAGACACAUGUGCACGUCUGCGAGUCGCAAACCCACACACCUGUGCAUCUAUGACUCUGAGUGCCGCUUUGCAUGGCCCCUCGAUUUGGGCCUGGCGCUCGAGUACUUUCACACACUCUCGAAUGUAAUGGAAUGUCUUGUUGUGCAUAACGUACAAACAGAAACAACUUUCAACAACGGAUCUCUUGGCUCUCGCAUCGAUGAAGAACGCAGCGAAAUGCGAUAAGUAAUGUGAAUUGCAGAAUUCAGUGAAUCAUCGAAUCUUUGAACGCACCUUGCACCCUUUGGUAUUCCGAAGGGUACGCCCGUUUGAGUGUCAUUGUAAUCUCACUACGAUCGACUUUUGUCUUUUCGUAUGUGGAUUUGGAUGUUGCCGUGAAUAAACAAACAGCUCGUCUGAAAUGCCUGAGUGUACCCCGCUUUGCGGCGUAUUCGGUGUGAUAAAUCUUCACCGGAGUUGAUCCCUUUAUGGGGGUCGCGUCUGUAACGGUGUGGCUCUAUGCUUCAAACCGUCUCCAAUCGAGACAAAAUUCUGACAAUUUGACCUCAAAUCGGGUGGGACUACCCGCUGAACUUAAGCAUAUCAAUAAGCGGAGGAAAAGAAACUAACAAGGAUUCCCCUAGUAACGGCGAGUGAAGAGGGAAAAGCUCAAAUUUUGAAUCUGGUGUCUUUGACUCCCGAGUUGUAAUCUAGAGAAGUGUUUUCCGUGUCGGACCGUGCACAAGUUCCCUGGAACGGGGCGUCAUGGAGGGUGAGAAUCCCGUAUAUGGCAUGGACUACCGAUGCUUUUGUGAUACACUCUCAACGAGUCGAGUUGUUUGGGAAUGCAGCUCGAAAUGGGUGGUAAAUUCCAUCUAAAGCUAAAUAUUGGCGAGAGACCGAUAGCGAACAAGUACCGUGAGGGAAAGAUGAAAAGCACUUUGGAAAGAGAGUUAAACAGUACGUGAAAUUGUUGAAAGGGAAACGUUUGAAGUCAGUCGCGUCGGCCGAGACUCAACCUCGCUCCUUGCUUGGUGCACUUCUCGGUUGACGGGUCAGCAUCAAUUUCGACCGUCGGAGAAAGGUCGAGGGAACGUGGCAUCUCUCGGGAUGUGUUAUAGCCCUCGAUUCGGAUACGACGAUUGGGAUUGAGGUAUGCAGCGUGCCUUUAUGGUCGGGGAAUCAACCCACGUAACACGCUCAGGAUGCUGGCAUAAUGGCUUUAAGCGACCCGUCUUGAAACACGGACC